UCUCCAGAAUUUCGACUGACUUUUGUUACAAAUCCAGCUGUAUUUCCAAACUUGUUAAUUUUCUUUAAAGAAGUAUUAUUUUGAAUUAUGUCUGACUUUACAGGAAGAUCUGCAGCUAUAAGUUCUCAGGUUCUAUCCACGUUGUUCGAUCGUAAGUAAAUACAAUUCUCAAAUUGUCUUUCUCUAAUCAUAUACUGAAUAUAUAUAUGUAUAUACAGAAAUGCAUCAUGCUUAAUAAUGAUUUUCUUAUUUUUAGGGGCAGUCUCAGAAGAUCCAAACAUUGUCUUAGAGUCGGAAUUUAUAAGCGAUCUUGCCAAUACUCAGGAGACAUACCAGAACCACACAGGAUUAAACAAUACAAUUGAUAACCGGGAGAAUCCUAGGAAGAACCGCUUGUCAUUGAAUAAAAAAAGAACUGACUCUGAAGCUAUCAGAUCAUCACAGCUGGUGAAUACGGCUCUGACACCAUCCGGUUCUGUUCAGAUAGGAGUACACAGCAUAACCCGUGAUGAAGACGUAAUUCUCAUCUCGUCUGAAUCGGAAGACGAACCUGUGGCAGACCUGCCUUCAGGGCAGAGAUUUGAUUUCAUCUCCGUCACGCCUCCUCCCACACCACGGCAGGCUGCCAGGGCAAGGCCAGACAUCGAACAGAGAGCAGAACCUGAACCUGAACCAGAACC